UCAGGUGGCCGCAGAGAAUAGGCCCAAGCGACUGUUUACCAAAAACAUAGGUUUCUGCUAAGUCGCAAGACGAUGUAUAGGAGCUGACGCCUGCCCGGUGCUGGAAGGUUAAGGGGAUCUGUUAGAGCAAUCGAAGCAGUGAACUUAAGCCCCAGUAAACGGCGGCCGUAACUAUAACGGUCCUAAGGUAGCGAAAUUCCUUGUCGGGUAAGUUCCGACCCGCACGAAAGGCGUAACGAUUUGGGUACUGUCUCAACAACAGACUCGGUGAAAUUGUAAUUCCGGUGAAGAUGCCGGAUACCUGCGACAGGACGGAAAGACCCCAUGGAGCUUUACUGUAGCUUGACAUUGGGUCUUGGUACUACAUGUACAG
rnacentral:rRNA from 1 species